rnacentral:rRNA from 1 species
GAUGAACGCUGGCGGCGUGCCUAAUACAUGCAAGUCGAGCGAACGGUCGAGAAGCUUGCUUCUCUGAUGUUAGCGGCGGACGGGUGAGUAACACGUGGAUAACCUACCUAUAAGACUGGGAUAACUUCGGGAAACCGGAGCUAAUACCGGAUAAUAUUUUGAACCGCAUGGUUCAAAAGUGAAAGACGGUCUUGCUGUCACUUAUAGAUGGAUCCGCGCUGCAUUAGCUAGUUGGUAAGGUAACGGCUUACCAAGGCAACGAUGCAUAGCCGACCUGAGAGGGUGAUCGGCCACACUGGAACUGAGACACGGUCCAGACUCCUACGGGAGGCAGCAGUAGGGAAUCUUCCGCAAAGGGCGAAAGCCUGACGGAGCAACGCCGCGUGAGUGAUGAAGGUCUUCGGAUCGUAAAACUCUGUUAUUAGGGAAGAACAUAUGUGUAAGUAACUGUGCACAUCUUGACGGUACCUAAUCAGAAAGCCACGGCUAACUACGUG